rnacentral:rRNA from 1 species
GGUGAACGCUGGCGAUGUGCCUAACACAUGCAAGUCGAGCGGAGAUGAUGUGAGGAAGUUUUCGGAUGGAAUCACAUUAUUUUAGCGGCGGACGGGUGAGUAACGCGUGAGCGACCAACCUUGCACAGGGGGAUAACGGACCGAAAGGUUCACUAAUACCGCAUGAGACCACGGUGUUGCAUGACACAGAGGUCAGAGGAGGAAUCCGGUGCAAGAAGGGCUCGCGUCCGAUUAGGUAGUUGGAGGGGUAACGGCCCACCAAGCCUAUGAUCGGUAGCCGACCUGAGAGGGUGAUCGGCCACAUUGGAACUGAGAUACGGUCCAAACUCCUACGGGAGGCAGCAGUGGGGAAUAUUGGGCAAUGGGGGAAACCCUGACCCAGCAACGCCGCGUGAAGGAAGAAGGUUUUCGGAUUGUAAACUUCUGUCCUUGGUGAAGAGAAGAAGACGGUAGCCAAGGAGGAAGCCCCGGCUAACUACGUGCCAGCCGCCGCAGUAA